CCUACGGGUGGCAGCAGUAGGGAAUAUUGCGCAAUGGGCGCAAGCCUGACCCAGCAACGCCGCGUGAAGGAAGAAGGCUUUCGGGUUGUAAACUCCUUUUAAGAGGGAAGAGCAGAAGACGGUACCUCUUGAAGAAACCACGUCUAACUACGUGCCAGCAGCCGCGGUAAUACGGAGGUGGCAAGCGUUGUCCGGAUUUACUGGGUGAAAAGGGCGAGUAGGCGGGCUGAAAAGUCAGAUGUGAAAUUCCGGAGCUCAACCCCGGACCUGCAUUUGAAACUGUUGGUCUAGAGUGUCGGAGAGGUAGGUGGAAUUCCUAGUGUAGCGGUGAAAUGCGUAGAUAUUAAGAGGAAUACCAGUGGCGAAGGCGACCUGCUGGACGACAACUGACGGUGAGGCGCGAAAGCGUGGGGAGCAAACAGGAUUAGAUACCCGAGUAGUC
rnacentral:rRNA from 1 species